CACACACACCACCCCUCUCAUACACACACACAGAGCACCCCUAAUAAUCACUACACCCCUCACACACACACACUGAACCUCUCACACAUACUUCACCCCUCAUACACAUUGCACCCAUGAUAUACACUGCACACCUCCACUCAGUACAUUCCAUAUACUCACACUCUUCAUUCCCUAUGUACACACUAGAUCCCCUGUACGGAAAACACGUACUACGUUCCCUAAACACAAUCUACAGCCCCUUAAACACACUACACACACUACAC